UACGUAGGCAGCAAGCGUUGUUCGGAAUUAUUGGGCGUAAAGAGUGUGUAGGCGGUGCUCCAAGUCUGUUGUGAAAUCUCCCGGCUUAACUGGGAGGGUGCGGCGGAAACUGGAAUGCUAGAGGGUGGGAGAGGUAAGCGGAAUUCCUGGUGUAGCGGUGAAAUGCGUAGAUAUCAGGAGGAACACCUGUGGUGUAGACAGCUUACUGGACCACUUCUGACGCUGAGACACGAAAGCGUGGGGAGCGAACAGG
rnacentral:rRNA from 1 species